CGGGUGUCUACCUAGCGCCCAGCUCUGGCUCUGACUCUGCCUGGAGCCUGAAGCCGUGGCCAAGGUCGCCCCCCACUUCUGUGCUGGGCUCCUCAGUGCUGAUCACAAGGGGAGGCAUGCAGGGCUGGUCAGGGUGAGUGACAGAUGAGAUGCUUAUGUUUUGAACACGGUCCACUCAGGGGCCCAUGUGGCAGUGACCUCCCCUCUCUGGGUGCCCUUCUGCCCCGUGGACCCUUGAGUGGCUGCACACAGAGCUGGGGACAAAGCUUAGCUUGGGCUCUGCUUUGAGAGGCAAGCAGCAGUUUGGAGCAAUGCCGGUCCCCUGCAGUCCCUAGGUGCCUCAGUGCAGGAGGGUAGAUGGGACUCAGAGUCCAUCUGUCCUGGAGACUCUGGGUCCCAGAGGCUGCCCCUCUCAGCUGCCCAGCCCACUCGGCUGGCAUCAGCUGCACAGCCUGGCUUCCUCUGCUCUGUGGGGAGGGACAGUUCAGCCCAGCCAACGGGUGGCCUGCCUGUCCUUUGCCUGUGCUGGUCGCCAUGGACCCGGGGAAAGCAAACAGAGCCAGCAGGCGGGGCUGAGUGUCUGCUGGUGCGGGGGCGGCAUCAACAGGGCCUGUGACUGUGUGAGUAGCAGCUGCUCAGUGGGGAGGUCACCUGCAGACGCUGGUACUGCCUUGGGGGCUGCGGAUGUCCUAGUCAGUGAGUUUGGGCUGGUGGGGGAGCCAUGCUUUCCUGGAGGCCCAUCCACUGUGUGGGGCCAGCCCGGACCCAACACCAGGCUGUAUGUCUGCUGCACUGUGAGGAGGCUGAGCCUAGGGAUGCACAGGGUGCCUGGACCCUGUGUGGUCUGAAGGUGGGCCUUUGGUGGGGCACGACGCAUCUGCACCUGUGAGGCUUUCGAUGGAGUCUGCAUAGCCUCAGCCUCGCUCCUGGCCUCGGUCUGCCUGAGUAGAAUCAGUGAGUCAGUCAAGAAGCAUGAAGUCCUUGGACUGCGUCCACAUUGUGUGCUGUGGAGAAGGAGCCCUGGGCGUGCCCCUGCCCUCCAGGAAUCAGCCCGGAAGGAGACAGGACACUACGUGCAUGGACAGUGCGUGGGCCUGGGGACACUGGGUGCCUGGAGGCAUGGGCCCGCAUUGUGGUGGUGCCCUGGGUUGUACUCGGCCUUUGGUUGUCUUUGGAGAGGCCUGAGGCCUGCGGGGUGGGGCAGCGCCCUGGAUGGCAUAGAAUGAAGCGAGUGUCCAAGAAGGGGCAGGUGUGGACACUGGGCUCGCACGGGGCAGGGCAGAUAUGGGGAGGGCCCCCAUGCGGGUGGCCUCAGGGCCCUGCUCACCUCUCUGUCCACCCCUUGAGGCCUUGCCACUGCUGGUUUGAUAUUUUUUCAUGUAAAUUUAUUUUUACUUUUUAUGUAUGUGUUUAUUUUAUUUUAUUUUUUUGUCUUUUUCAUUUUUAUCGGUACCAGGGAUUGAACUCACGACUGCCUGUUUGCAAGGCAGGGGCUUAUGCUGCUAAGCUAAAUCCCCAGCCCCGUAUGUGUUUAUUUUAAAGAAGAAAAAAUAGAACAAAAUUUCAAAACAAGGUAUUAGUAGGUAACAAUGGUUAAUGCAUUGCAAAUUAUUGUCAAUUUAUUUCUAAAAACAAGUUUCAUAAAAAGAAAUCUUCAGCUGAGUGUGGUGGAGCCCACCUAUCAUCCUGGCUUCUAGGAGACUGAGUCAGGAGGCUCACUUACCAUUGAGCGGCCUAGUGAGAUUCUGUCUCAGAAUAAAAAAUAGAAAAGGUUGGGGUCACAGGUCAGUGUGGAGGCCUGUGCCCAGUAUUUCUAUUUGAAACAAGGUCUCCCUAUGUAGUCAGGCUUGCCUGACACUCUCAGAGAUCCUCCUGCCUCAGCCUCUCUAGUGCUAAGAUUACUCCCCUGCACCAUCAUGCCUGGCUCUCUCAUCUUUUGUUUUUGUGAUUCAACACCUGGGAUGUUAUGAGCGAGGUUUGUUUUGGCCCCAAGUUCUCAGGCCAGAAAGGUGUGGCAGGGUCCUCGGGAGUAAGGACAGAGGACCUAGCCCUUCACCCUGUAGCACUGGGCACCAAGUCAACCCUGUCCCACAAGAUCUGUUCACCUUCAGGUUCUGGAGGAAGACCUGAUGCAUGUGGGACGGAGCCCAGGAGCCCCACUUCUGUUUGGCUGCCCAAAGUGCCACAGCUCUGUGGCUUUGGGGGACAAACCUAGGGCAGAGGCUGUGGUCUCUAGGAUGGAGGACUCUGCUCCCCACCCCGGCAGCCUCCUGGUUGGAGUCCUGUCCCGUGAUCACAAGAUCGGAAGAGAGUGGUCACCUCGUGACCCUUGGUCAUCGCAGUCUGCCAGAGGCUGGGGUGGGGACGGGUGGGUGGAGCUGCGGCAGGAGAGGACAGGAGGGGAUGGCUGCUGAGCCAUCUGCCCUCAGGGGCUGGACACAGCAGCCCGGGAUCCUGGUUUCCUGUUUGGCCUGGCACCGGCCAAGGUCCCCUCCCCUUCUGCCUCCUCCCCAGGAUCUGCUUCCUCCUUUGAGACACAGGGCUGUAGGGGCAGGGGGCGGGAGGAGGGUCACAGCCCCAGCCCCUUGGGCCUGGAAAGCUGGGGUGCGGUCUCAGCCUGCUGCUCCUUGUUCCUUGGCUCUGCAAGGGGAGGGGAGGUCAGGUUGGGCAGAGACCUAGGGAGCAGAGCAGCAGCUGCCCUGCUCCGGGGAAGGGGAGAAGGGUAGAGAAGCCUUGGUGGGGGGGCGGUAAAUGCCAGAAACUAUGGCAAAGGGCUCAGACAGGGUGAUGGGCAGUGGUGGGCAGCAGGGGCGCACUUUGGAUGAGGUUGUGGGUUGGCCCCAGCCCAAGGAAGAGCUGUAGCUGCUGGCCUCAGGGUACAGACCUGAAUCAAAGGGCUGGGCUGCAGGAGGGAGGAGGAGGAGCCUAGAGUGGUGGGACCAACCCCUCGUUCCCCUGGUGGUGACUGGUCCUCCUCCCCAUCCCCAGCAGCCACCAGAGCCCGAGUCCAUAGGCAGCCUGAUCUCAGACUGGAAACUAACAGCCAACCCAGCCUUUGUUUCUCCAUCUCAGUUAUCUGCAGGGUUUCAUCACAUCAGGCAAAGCCGUGGGAGCCUCUUCCCCUCCUCUGUCUCCCCGAGCAGGGACCCACCCUGGUGCUUGGCGGACAGCCAGCACCUGGUCCGUCCUGGAGGACAAGGCCAGGUGGUCUUGAGACCCCCAGUCACUUCCACAUCAGCACUGCCUAACCCAGUGUCUCUCUCAGGGAACUUUGCUCACUGUUUAAGCAAAAGCCAACCCAUUCCUGUCCACCCCUAAGGGAAGACUUGGAAAAUUAGGAGUAGAGAGGAGGUGUGCAGGGCCUUGGGAGCAGAAAUUUCCAGAAUAGAAGAUGAAAGCACAAUUAAAAGCCUCUCUCCAGCCUAAGGUGCCGUUUAAAUACAAUGGGUCCCAGACCUGAAGAUCUCAACCUGCACCCGCAUGCACCUGCCAAAGAGUUUGUAUCCAGACUCAACAAAAAGAAGCCAGCCCGCAAAAAACAGGCUUAAGCUCUGGUGGGUAUCCCGAAAGAGAACUCUGGGGCAGCAGCAUGCAAGGAAACGCUCUCAGCACUGCUGAGAGAGGAGGGCAGACGAAGGCCACGAAGGCCAUGGGAGAUACUGACCCCUGUGGGGUGUGUGGAGACGGUGCUGCCCCAGCUUCCCUCCUGGUGAAUCUGCUCCCCAGAGACCAGCGCCUGUGCGAAAGAAAGGGUGUGCAAAGUCCAGGGAGUUUUCUGCCUUGACACCCACGGCCCAUGGAGGCCUGGAGAACCUUGAUGGCAAGUCCAUGCCUCCGAGGAUGAGCAAUCAGAAGAUCCCUGCCUGCUUCAUGGAUGCAGAGCUGAGUGGUUGGUAAAGCAGCUCCACCAUGGGUCCUGUCAGGUGGGGCGUGACAGGCAGGUGCUCAGGGGGCUUCUGGGGAGCUGGGGGUCCCCUGUCUGGGCUGGGUGCCCAUGGGUGCCUGCAAGUGAAAGUGGCCAAGCAACUCAUCAGGGUGAGUAUUUUGUACUCUUACUGAGUACAUAUUAGACUUCUGCCAGAUAUGUCCAUGGAAGCAAUCAUAAUUUACUGGACAAACAUGCUUUUUAUUUACUGAUUUAUUUCUGGCUCUUUUUUUUUUUUUUUUUUUUUUUGAGAUAGGGCCUCGCUCUGCAGUUCAGGCUGAAUUUGAACUCACUUGGAGCCCAGGCUGGCCUCAGAGAUCCUCCUGCCUCAGCCUCCCGAGUGCCACCUUGCCUGGCUUCUCUCACUUUAGAAAGGACAGAAGGCUACAGAGGACAGCUUGUCUCACAGUGGUGGGAGAAGGACAGGGACUUGAAUCUACCGUGUCUGUAUGGUUAGGGAUCCUGAGCGUAUUCCCUGGUGCAGCAUGCAGGUUUCCUGACUUGCUUCCCCAAGCACCAGAGGCUGAAGGCACUGCUCUCAGUGGGUCGCACCAUGGCCCUGAAAUCCCAGGAAUCAUCGGUCUCACCCUCUUGAAAUCCAGACACAGACUGAGGCUCCACCCUAUGAGCUUGAGUCACUGGAUCAGAGCCUGGGGCCCUGCCCGCCCCGUGUCCCCACAGCCAGGCGGUUAGGCCUUCCUGGAGGAGUGUGGAGGCCGGGAGUUGGUGUGAGCCCAGCUUAGCUCCUCUAGCCUGGGAGGCGCCUGGGCAGUGAGCUGAGGCCUCCGGUUCCCAGCCUGCCUGCAUGCAGUGAACACAGUGCCCACCUCACAGCAGCCUGACAUGCAUUCUUGGUGGUGGCUGUGUGUACCUGCCGGGUGCCGUUUCCUCCCGGGCCCCACAGAGGCAUAGACAGCACCUUCCUCCUCUGGGCCGACCUGUGUUGCUUUAAUAAUGUGGUUGGGGCAGAGUACUUUACAAAGGAAAGGGUUUUGUUCAGCUCACAGCUCUGGGGGUUCAGAGCACUGCGUCUCCAUGAUGGGUGGGAGGGGACCAGGUCAGGCACAGUGGGCCUGCUUUUUCCUGGCCACUGUCUAGAGUAGAGGGGACAGAACGCGUCCAAAGGUUUGGACAAAGCUCCUUCCAGGGCAGCACCACAGCCCAGUCACCUGCACAGAUGCCCAUGCCCCAACAGCCCCCAGCACUCCCUGGACUGGGCCACGCCACAUGCACUGGACGUGAGGUUCUGCUCAGUGGUUGCCUACUGAGGGCCAGGUGGAGUCUGGCACCAGAGAGGCUAGAGGUUGCAUGGGGUGGGCCAGGUCACAGGUGGGUCUGAGGCCCUGAGGGACACUGAAGUGAGAAGGGUCAAAGGUGGCCAGGCACAGGGAGAGGGCUGAGGGCUGGGAGCUGAGAUGGGUACAUGGGAGCAAGGGGUGGGCGCCAGGGGAAGGCCAGGGCCCUGGAGUCAUGAAGCUGCUGCUUGGUCCCUGGAAAAAAGGCAGAGGAGAGAGCCAAUCUGGAGAGACCGGGAUUGGAGUCCCCAUGUACGGAGCGCAGGGCUGUCCCAGCGGCCAGGAAGAAAACCGCCUCUCCGAAUGUUGUUUGGUGACUGUUGUUUGGAGCAUUGUUCUAAAAAUGGGAAAUGACAGGGCCACCGUGCCAAAGGAAGCUAACUCCUGCCUCCUUGAAGGCUGCCUCCCCAGGCGGCUUUCCCUAUGGCAGGGUUACAGCCCACAUCCCUGGUGGGAGGCAGGGCUCACGGGUCCACCAGGCAGCAUGGGUGUGGGUUCGGGCUGCCCUCAUGCACAGCCCCCUCCCCCAGUUGCUGGCCAGUGCUGUCCCCUCCCUGCUCCUCAGAGCCCUGGGCGGUGGCCCUGGGCAGCCGGCUGUCUCCUCCCUCCUCCAGAGUCAUGUGUGGCGCACGUCCUUGGGGGGCUGAAAACCCCAGCCCAGCCACCAACACACUUCUUUUGGUACAUGGCUUUCCUAAGUAUUUUGUACUGCGGAAGUGGGGUGUGCUCUGACAUUCUUAUUCUGUGGGCUAGACUGGAGACGAUUUGGGGGUCACUUGGUUAAUAGUUAACAUCUACCAAUAUGGCUGUAGUUGCAUAAUAAUCAGGCCCUGAAACUGA